rnacentral:rRNA from 1 species
CACGACCUCAGCUUAGGUGAGACUACCCGCUGAAUUUAAGCAUAUUAAUAAGCGGAGGAAAAAAACU